CUUAUUGUGUGUCUCCAAGUCCUGAGUCUACUGGGGUUAUGUAGAAAAAAAGUUUUAAACAUUUUUUUUGGGAAAUAAUUGCAAAGUUACAGCUAAAUUAUAAUAUAAAAAGAAGAGUUCUAUACCAUUUUACCCAGAUCUUACCUAUGUUCAAACUUUGAAGGGUAUUUUUAGAUCUAAGAGAUCUGGGUCUUUAAAGUCAGUCUCGGCCAGAAUCAGGCUGCAAAUGCCAAAGCAAGAGAUGUCAGCAAUGAGUUGCAGGUCUUUGCCAAACAGAGCAUCAUCUGGCAGUGAAAGGAGAGCAGAAGAGGGGAUUUUGAAGUGUGGACCGACCAUGGACUGAUAGAAAAAGGAACCACGAGGGCCUCCAACAAUGGGAAUGUGGUUGCCUCUUCCUGGUGCAACACCUGGGUUCUGCAGCGGUGCAUGCCAGAUAUUUGGCAUGAAGGUGGAACAAGCAAGGAAGGUGCUGGUGUUUGUAGCCACAACCAAUGUGGUGUG